GUGGCUUAAUUUGACUCAACACGGGAAAUCUUACCGGGUCCGGACGUAUCGAGGAUUGACAGAUAGUUAUACAUGCCCUACAAGCAAGUAGGAGUCAGGUUUUAAACCUAAUGGCUCUUUCAUGAUUAUAUGAUAGGUGGUGCAUGGCCGUUCUUAGUUCGUGGAGUGAUCUGUCUGCUUAAUUGCGUUUCAAAUUUUUAACCGAGGACCGGGUUUUGGUUUGGCUAGUGGUCCUACGAUGACUGUGAACUGUCAUGUCUUCGGAUGUACGACUAUCGGUCUAGGAUCACAUGACUUGCCCCUGGGACUCUUUUGAACGCAACGGACGUGAUUGCAACCCCUUGUUGAGAUUAGAGAUAGUCUCGAUAUUCACUGGCCAAACUGGCUGCUUUAUGCAGUCUUGUUGAAUGGUGGAUAAACUCGGGGGACUGCUGACUAUAACCAUUUCUCAAAACAGAGGAAGGUUGCGGCAAUAACAGGUCUGUGAUG
rnacentral:rRNA from 1 species